GCACGCCCUUUGAAAACCACAUGUGGGCCAAGGUGCACGGCAACGACCAGACUUACGCUUCGUAGGGCCCAGGGCCGAGGGCCUGCGCGCGAGAAGAGCCUAGUUA
rnacentral:ribozyme from 1 species